AACAUAUGGUCUACAUUAACAAGCUGAUUACUCACCAUACUAUUGUGCAUUGGGUUUCCAGGCUAUGAUGCAGAAUCCUCUUUUGCUGUAAGCUUUCUUACAGAUCCAGAAAAACAAAAAUGAUGGUGGGAAGAAUGACUAUCAACAGUGACAAGCUCUCUCACUUUCUGCAUACUUCAGACAAUCUGCAAAAGAAUGAUAAUCAAAGGAUUACAGAAAUCAGAUACAGAAAUCUUUCAAGACCUUUCAACCAGAACGGAUCUAAUAAAGAGACUUGAUCCUGUUUAUAAGCAGGACUCUCUCAUUUUCUUUUGCACUGGUAAUAAACAAACCUAUAGCCAAUUGACUGUACUUAUAGGAGCUGUGGGAACUGUCUGCUCACAUGGACAAGGAUGAAUAUAUUAAUUGCUUAGAAAUAGGCCUCACUGGUGACAUUGCACACACCCAGCUGUUGUAUGAGUCAGCAGAAUAGAAUGAACUGGUGUUAAUGGAUAGAGCAGAGCCUGAAAACCCUGAUAUGAAGAGGCCUCUAGCUUUGUGACCUGAGACAACUGCUUCUCUGAAUGGCCUUCCAGGCUCUGAAGAAUGUGUUCACUGUUGAGUUUUCUCAGUGGUGGAGGAGGAUAUAAAUAUACAUAUAUCUGAUACACUUUACAUCAAAUCUCCGAAGAAGAGAAUGACAGUUGGGGAGUGGCCAUUUGCUGAGAAAGUGACAGUCAUUUGACAAGUAAAUUCUAUGAAGUCACAACUGCAGACACAGAGGUACAGCCAGACACUGACUGUCUUGAAUACACACAGCUCCAUAUAAUCCAUCAGAGAGCAGCAAAUUAAUAAGGUAAUGGACUAUCAUGUUAAAUGGAAGGUGAUCAGAGGACCUGUUUAGAGGAAGAGAAGUCUUUACAGAAAGAGAAUAUAUGAUUGUCCUUACGAACUCUGUGAACUUAGCCACAACAGGAUGUGAUUCUUUUUAAGACUACAGCACCUUUAUUAUUGGCCCUAAAUGCAUGAGAAACUGUAGUCAGGUCUUGAUUUGCUUAGCUAAAAAAAAAUCUUUCCAUUUAAAUACUUGUCAUACACAAUAUGAAAUUGCUACAUUAUUCAUUCAGAAUUCCACAAUCCCCUUUUUAAGUCAGAGUCAUUCCUCAAAGCUAACAGUUUCCUUUUCAGGGAGUUGCACUCACAUUCUUAGUGAGUAGUGGGAAACUACAAACAAUUAAA